AGCCAGGCCCUGUGCAACGAGGAAUCAUGAACCCCGCCAGGUCCGGAAGGAAGCAACGGUAGUGACACUCCUCGUGUGCCGCAGGUAGCCUGGCUGUC
rnacentral:SRP_RNA from 1 species